GGCUCCAGGGUAGAAGUCCGCCACCCACUGCACUGGGUUGAAUCCUGUUCCCCCAAAAUUCACAUCCACACAGAACCUGUGAAUGUGACCUUAUUUGGAAAUAGGGUCUUUGCAGAUGUCAUCAAACCAAAAUGAGGUCAUACUGGAGUAGGAUGGGCCCUAAAUCUAAUGGCUGGUGUUCUUAGAAGAAGAGGGAGAUUUGAGACACACGGACAUAAGGAAGACGGCCAUGUAGGGAAGGAGGCAGAGAUUGGAGUGAUGCGGCCACAAACCAAGAAUGCCCGUAGCCACCAGACGCUGGGAGAGACAAGGAAGUCUCCUCCCCUAUAGGGGAGCCUUCAGAGGUAGCACGGCCCUGCAGGCACCCUAAUUUCAGACUUCUACCCUCCAGAACUGUAAGAGAAUAAAUCUGUGUGUGUGUGUAUGUUUUUGGUAAAUUACAUGUAACAGAAAAUAUUUGCCACUUCAACAAUCCUUCCGUGUACAGCUCAGUGACAUCCAGUGACAUUGGUGACAUUCCUCACCAUGUUGCACAAUCGUCACUGCCGUCCGUUUCCAAAUUAUUUUCAUCGCCCUUAACAGGAACUCAGUGGCCCUUCCACAGUACCGCCCCAUGAAUUUAUGUUAAGCCACCCAGUUUGUGGUCAUUUGUGGUGGCAGCCCCAGGGCACUCAUACAUCAUCCCUGUAGGUCCUCCUGCCUCUGCCUUGGUUUGACCAAACUGGGUGGACACCAUGCUCCUGCCCCUGGACAACCCAGGUCUACUUCAGGACGCCUUCCUGACUCCCAGGGGCAGUGCUGUCCAGACAUAGUCCACUCCCCAGGAAGGAAGAGUCCAGAGCUACAGCCUUUGAGCCUGGCCAUGUCCUGCUACAACUGUCUGCCUGCCCCAGUACUCUGCACCUUCAGCUGACGCUACAGUUCACCAAAAGGGGUCCCGGUGGUACACUGAUUAAGCACUCGGCUGGUAACUGAAAGGUCAGUCGUUCGAACCCACCAGCGGCUCCUCAGGAGAAAAGACCUGGCAAUCUGCUCCUCCAGAACCUCCACGAGGACAGGGUGUCAGACUUCUGCUAGCCCAGUACCCCUGGUGCCUACAGCUGGGGUUCAGGGACCAGGUUGUUGAAGGCAUGGAGAAAGAUCUCUGCAUGACUCACCACCUGCUUCCAGCUCAUCUCAGGUGAAAUGUCCCCUCAAGAGAGGCCUUUCCUGAGCCUCACUUGUAUCAGCUCCUGUUGUGGACUGAGUUCUGUCCCCCAAAAUGGUUCCGUUGGGCUCUCUGCUCUCUCCUAAAGAAGCUGCCACCCGCUACACAGCUUUAAUUGUCUCUAAUUAAAAGAAACAUCGACAGGGUCGCUGGGGCAUCUCAGCUCUGGUGCUGGGGGAGUGAGCAGGGGUGGUAGGCACCCCCAGCAGGGGCUGGCUCCCUUCUGCAGCCCUACCAGCUUCCCACCAACUGGGAGCAGAGAGACAACAGCCCUGCCCCAGGGCACCCACAGUCCCACACACAUCCCCACCUCUCCUGAGGGGUUCUGCGUAAUUGCUUUUCUCCCCACGAGGGACUCCAGCUGUGUCAAAUGUGGGUCACCAGUGUAAUGAGUUUAGCACCCCAACAAGAGGCAUGGGAGAAAAACGCAGAGGCGAAUGGAGCCAAGGUACCAUUGGGAACAUCACAGGAGGUUGGAGGGCCGAGGACAAAACCGGACAGUGGCCUGGUACAAAAAGGCUGUGGCUGCAGCCUGGACCCACCAGAGCAGCUUCCACAAAGCCAAGCCGGGGUGCUGAGCUCAGAGACCCGAGAGCAGGCAUGUGCGGGCUCAGAUCCCAGCUCUGCUCCUGCCCAGCGGGCCUUCUGUGAGAGCCGCACCUGCAGGCCUCAGUUUUCACAUCUGCCAAGGGGCUCUGCCGAGGUUUACCUGGCUGCUGCUGGAAUAUGGGUGAGUCAGAUCAUGGAAGAUGCUCAGAGCGCAGAAAUGUUGGUUGAGCAGGCACUCACGUGAGGGAGUCGGAGACCCCAGCAGGCCCCGGUUGUUAGCUGCUGUCUCAUCAGCCCUAACUCAGUGACCUUAUGUAGAACAGAAGAAAACAUUGCCAGUCCUGCGCCAUCUUCAAGAUCCUUGUAUAUUUGAGUCCAUCGUUGCAGCUAUGUGUCAGCCCACCUCACGGAGAGUUUCCCUUGCCUUCGCUGACCCUCUACUUUACCAAACAUUAUGUCCUUUUCCAGUGAUUGGUCUUUCCUGAUGACGGGUCCAAAGUAAGGGAGCCAAAGUCUCGCCGUUUCAACUCCGGCCUGUUCUGGGUGCCGGGGACACAGCGGAGACACGCAGAUAGGCCCGAAUCCCAGAGACCUGGCUUCAGGGAGGGGGCAGGAGGCGAUGAAUGACUGACCAUGGUUCAGAGAAACCCCUCCCACGCCGGUGAGCCACACCCUAGGCAAGCCAGAGGAGUCCCAGGAGAGCAGAGAGAGGCAGCACAGGCCUGGAGAGGAACAGUGAUGUCCCAGGCACAAUGCCACCUGGGAAGACAGGGCUGCGCCAGGCCAAGGAAGGGCACCUCAUCUCGCCACCCCACCUCCUGUCCUCAGGGUCCCUGAACGCCUCCUACACACAGGUGAUCCACCACAGCAGCUACCCUCUGGGAAAGGGCUGGAUUCCUGCAGCGUCUAGUUUCAGAUUGGAGAGUCCCCCUUCUAACCAGACCAGCCUGUUUCUCCCACCUGAAUGGAGCCAAGAGUGGUGUGGUGACCUCCCAUCUCAUGGCAAGGUGAGAUCGCAGGUCUCCCACCUGCUCAGCUACCCCACAAUGCUGGGGUCCCUGGAGCCCACGAGAAAUAUUAGAUGGCAUUUUAAAUCAUUGCAUAUUUUAAAAAUAAUAAAGGGGAACUCACACAUCUGUGGUCGUGAUUUCUGACAAGGGUGCUAAGUCCAUUUGAUGGGGAAAGAAAAGUCUCUUCAAUUCAUGGUGCUGGGAAAACUGGAUUUCCACAGGCAGAAAAGUGAAACAGGUUCCAUGCCUCACACCACACACAAAAACAAAUUCAAAAUGGAUUAAGGACCUAAAUGUGCGAGCUAAAAUCACAGGAUUCUUAGAAGAACAAGAAGGGGCAAGCUGUCAGGCCUGGCUUUCAACGAUGGCUUACUGAUAUAACAACAAAAGCACAAACAAGAAAACACAAAAUAAAUAAAAGGGACCUCAUAAAAAUUAAAAACUUUUGUUCAUCAAAGCACUUUACCAAAAAAGUGAAAAGCAAGCAGCCAGCUGGAGAAUAUCUUUGGAAAUCAUGUAUCCGAUAAGAAUCUAAUAACCGAAAUUAUAAAACUUUGACAACUUAACAACACAAAGACAAAUAACCCAAUCAUAAAAUGGGCAAAGGACUUGAAUAGACAUUUCACCAAAGAGGGCAUUCAAAUGUUACCAAACACAUGAAAAGAUGAUCAGUGUCAUUAACCAUGAGAGAUACAAACCAAAACCACCAUGAGAUACUAUUUCACCCCCACAAGGAUGAGUAAGAUUAAAAAAAAGACAGAAAAAAAAAAUAACAAAUGUUGGUGAGGAUGUGGGGAAAUUGGAACCCUUACUCAUUUCUGGUGGGAAUGCACAAUGGUAUAGCUGUUGUGGAAAACAGUGUGGUGGUUCCUCAGAAAACUAAAAAUAGAACUACCAUAUGACCCAGCAAUUCCAUUCCUAGGUAGAUACUCAAAAGAUUUGAAGGUAGAGACUCAAAAAAAGACUCGUAUGCUACAGCACUAUUCACAAGAGCCUAAAGACAGAAACACCCUAAAGGCCCAUCCACAGCAGAAUGGAUAAACAAAACGUAGGACCUACAUACAACGGAAUACUACUCACCUAGCAGGAGAAAUGAAAUCUUAAUACAUGCUACAGUAUGGAUGGAGCUUGAAGACAUUACGCUGAGUGAAAUAAGCCAAUCACAAAAUGACAAAUAUUAUAUGAACUCAUAUGAAAAGAUCAGAAAAGGCGAAUGUACAGAGAUCACAGUUUAUUAGUGGCUACCGAGGGUGGGACAGAGAGGGAAAGGGAGGGUUAACGGUGAUGAAAAAAUCACAUUAAGGUGAGGGUUGCACAGCCAAUUAUUUUAAGUGCGGUCAGUAAGUUGUAUACCUGUCGAAAGUUGAACUGGCAAAAGUUGUGUGAUGGAUAUAUUUACGGCAACAACAACAACAGCAAGAGUAGCUGCUAAGGCUGCUUACACACAACCAAAUACCUCAUGGGAGUUGGUUCCUUGGUUUGGAGGUUUAGGGUCAUGGUUUCAUGGGACAUCCCAAUUAAUUGGGCUAAUAACAUGUUUAGUGCCUCUGUUCUACCUCCUGGUUUGCUGUGUAGAACCUGGAGUCUCAAAAGCUUGCAAGUGGCCAUCCAAGGCACAAUUGGUCUCUAUUUGCCUGCAGUAACAGAGGAAGAAGGACAGUCAGGAAUAGGAGGAGGAUAUGGAGUAUGUCGCCUCCAUGAACAACUGCCUCCUUUGCCUUGAAACCAGAAGAAUUGGAUGGUGCCUGGCUACCUUUACUGAACACUUUGAUCAAAGAUUCCAUAGAAGAAUCUCAAUCAAAAGGGGGGAAAUACAGAACAGAGUUUCAAAUUCUCAUGGACUCUAGGCAUUCUAGAGCCAUGGAGGGUGGAUGAACCAAAAAUGUGCCCUGCAGUCUUCUUAAAACCAAACAAUAGUUUAGAUUAACUAGAAAAAAGGUCUGCCUUGAGCAUUAAAAAAAAAAAAAAAAUGACAAGAAGAACCAGAUGGUGCCCAGCUACCACCAACAAUUGCCCUGACAGGGAAAACAACAGAGAGUCCCUGAUGGAGUCGGAAAAAACUGGGGUACAGAACUCAAAUUCUAGUAAAAAGACCAGACUUAAUGGUCUGAGACUGGAGGAACCCCAGAAGACAUGGCCCCCGAACUCUCUGUUAACGCAGAACUAAAACCAUUCCCAAAGCCAACCCUUCAGACAAAGAUUAGACUGGACUAUAAGACAUAAAAUGAUACUUAUGAAGAGUGUGCUUCUUAGUUCAAGUAGAUACAUGAGGCUAAAUGGCCAGCUCCUGCCUGGAAGCGAGAUGAGAAGGCAGAAAGGGACAGGAGCUAGUUGAACGGACACAGGAAAUCCAGGGUGCAAAGGAAGAGUGUGCUGUCACAGUAUAGAGAGAGCAACUAGGGUCACACAGCAAUGUGUGUAUAAAUUUUUGUAUAGGAAACUAACUUGAGCUGUAAACUUUCACUGAAAGCACAAUUUAAAAAAAACGAUAAAAGGGAACGAGAUAGUAUGAGUUUUCUGUGGCUGCUGGAACAAAGUACUACAAUGCUGGGUAGCUCAAAACAACCCAAAUUUACCCUUUCUCAGUUCUGGAGGCCAGAAUUCUGAACUCAAAGUGUCACCAGAGCCAUGUUCCCUCUGAAGGCUCUAGGGGAGGAUCCCUCCAUAUCUCUUCCAGCUUCUGGCAGUCCCAGGCAUUCCUUGGCUUGUGGCUGCGUCACUCCAAUCUCCGCCAUCCUCAUAUGGUCAUCUCCCUGAGUCCUCUCUUCUUAUAAAGACAUCACCAAACUUGUUCUCGUCCAGUCUACUCCAACUCAUGAUAACCCCAUGUGUGUCAGAGUAGAACUGUGGUCCAUAGGGUUUUCAAUGGCUGAUUUUUUCAAAGUAGACCACCAGGCCUAUCUUCUGAGGUGCCUCUGGGUAGACUCAAACCCUAACCUUUCAGUUAACAGCCAAGUGCAUUCACCAUUUGCUCCACCCAGGGACUCCAACCAGACCUAAAACCAAACCCCAUGCCAUAGUUUUUCCUCACUUGGUGGUGCAGUGGUUAAGAGCUUGGCUGCUAACUAAAAGGUAGGCAGUUCAAACCUACCAGCCACUCCUUGGAAACCCUAUGGGGCAGUUCUACUCUGUCCUAUAGUCAUUUCUGACUCAUGGUAACUGUCUUGGUCAUCUAGUGGUGCUGUAACAGAAAUACCACAAGCGGAUGGCUUUAACGAAGAGAAAUUUAUUCUCUCACAGUCUAAGAGGUUACAAGUCCAAAUUCAGGGCGUUGGCUCCAGGGGAAGGCUUUCUCUCUCUGUCGGCUCUGGAGGAAGGUCCUUGUCCUCAAUCUUCCCCUGGUUGAGGACCUCCUCAGGCACAAGCAGCCCGGGUCCAAAGAACACGCUCUGCUCCUGGUGCUGCUUUUUUGGUGGUAUAAGGUCCCCAACUCUAUGCUUGCUUUCUCUUUCUUUUUUAUCUCUUGGAAGAUAAAAGGUGGUGUAGGCCACACCCCAGGGAAACUCCCUUAUCUUUGGAUCAAUCCCACCCUAACCCUUUUCAAUAUAACAUUACAAUCAAAAAAUGGAAGACAAUCACAGAAUACUGGGAAUCAUGGCCUAACCAAGUUGAUACACACAUUUUUAGGGGGACAUAAUUCAAUCCAUGACAGUAACUCUGUAGAACAGAGUAGAACUGCCCCAUAGGGUUUUCAAGGAGUGGCUAGUGGAUUUGAACUACUGACCUUUUAGUCAGCAGCCAAGCUCUUAACCACCACACCACCAAGAUAGGUGCUACAAAUUUUCCCCUUUUAUAAGUGAGGAAAAACUGUGGUACAGGGAGGUUAAGUGUCUUGCUCAAGGGUGCACAGCAAAUAAGAGGCAGAUCCCAGGCGAAAAUCCAGGACAUCUGGCUCUAGACAUGGGCUCCUAAUGGUUGCACCAGACAACAGCAGAGAAGCAAAUGUCUCUUGCCAACUUGCAGCCUACCAGCUGAAGACCACGCUAACCCAGGACCCAGGCAAUUCAGCAACCAGCUUAGUCCUAUUUCUUCACUCACCUUCUCCUUCUUUCUAAGCAUUUCUGGAGAUUUUUCUUUUUACAUAAAGCAAAAACGUAAUUGCAAAACCGGAAAACAAAAGCAUGAACAAGGCUACCUUUAUCGCCUCCGACUAGUUUCCACCACUGGCAGAGGUCCUAUCGAGAGGGUCAACACAGGUGGCCGCCCCAUCUCCUGUAACCCCUAGCCCCUCUGGGCAAGCUGGGCU